GCUGGGCAUGGUGGUGUAUGCCUGUAAUCCCAGCAGCUCAGGAGGCUGAGGCAAGAGGAUUGCAAGUUCAAAGCCAGCCUCAGCAAAAGCAAGGCACUAAGCAACAUCUGUAAGACUUUGUCUCUA
rnacentral:sRNA from 1 species